rnacentral:rRNA from 1 species
UACGGGGGGAGCAAGCGUUGUUCGGAUUUACUGGGCGUAAAGGGCGCGUAGGCGGCCACCGCAAGUCGACUGUGAAAUCUCCGGGCUUAACCCGGAAAGGUCAGCCGAUACUGCGGGGCUAGAGUGCAGAAGGGGCAACUGGAAUUCUCGGUGUAGCGGUGAAAUGCGUAGAUAUCGAGAGGAACACCUGCGGCGAAGGCGGGUUGCCGGGCUGACACUGACGCUGAGGCGCGAAAGCGAGGGGAGCGAACGGG